rnacentral:SRP_RNA from 1 species
CGAUAGGUAGGAUCGGGAGGAUAGUCGUCUCCCUUUGUCCUGAAACCGACUAUACGCAGGGGUCAGUAACCGUCGGGUAAAGCGCGGACUGGAAUGUACUUGCCCAGCCUAUUGGGAAGAACCCACGCCACGGCGGGCUGUCAGAGAAGCGUGCUCUUCGAAGGGAGGGUUGCGACUUCGCACCAUCGAAUCGGGCGAGAUCCGGGAGGGGGCAACCCUAAGAUGGAAUGGUUGCGCUGCCGUGUCUACGCGGAGGACCGAUAAAGCUGGGAGGGAGGCACUCCGCUCGCGCGAACGCUGACGGAGCUAUCG